ACAACUAAUAAUAAUUUCUUAACACCAGCAGAUUGAAUGUCUUAUUACGACAAUAUGAAAAUUCCCAGGAACCAUGUGAUGGACAGAGAAGAUGAAGAAGAGAUGAAUAUCUAUGCUAAUACUGAUCCUAUAAAUAGUUUUAAUGUCGGGGGAGAAACAGAGAACUCGGACACCAAAAGACACCAAACUCCUCAACACACAGGAAGUGUUUGUGUGAAGAUCAGAAGCUCCAGAACAGUGUGUUUGGUUCUGCUGUGUGUUCUUCUGCUGACUGCAGUCAUAGUGCUGUGUGUCCACAUCCACACAAAGAGCACAAACUACACAGAAGAGAGAGAUGGGCUAAACAACAUUACCAAUCUCACAGAAGAGAGAGAUGGGCUAAUAAUAAAGAACAAAUACCUGACCAAUGAGAGAGACCAGCUAAGAAAUCAUCUUCAGAGUCAUGAUGGAUGGACUUACUACAAAUCCAGUUUGUACUACAUGCCGAGUGAGACGAAGAGCUGGACUGAGAGCAGAAGAUACUGUAGAGAGAGAGAGGAGCAGAUCUGAUCAUCAUAAACAAUACAGAGAAACAAGAUUUUGUGAAGAACACGUAUGGUUCUGGUAUAGUCUGGAUUGGUCUGACGGACAGUGAUGCGGAGGGCAGAUGGAAAUGGGUUGAUAACAGCACACUGACCUCUGGGUUCUGGGCGACUGAUGAGCCUAAUGGACAUACAGUAGAGAACUGUGCUGUGAAUGUGGAUCAUAACCAAAGGUGGCCAACUUUAUCCGGCUGGCUUGAUAUUGCAUGUAAUUCAGCUUUUAAAGGGAUCUGUGAGAAGAGAACAUCACACAUCGAUUUGGUGCAAGUUUAACAGAACAAAACUUCUGUAAUAAUUGAUUUAUUAUCUAAAGCAGUGUUUCUCAACCUUGUUCCUGGAGGACGCUCUCAACUGCACAUUUUGAAUGUUUCCUUUGUCAGACACCCAUUUCAUGUCCUAGAGUUUCUUAUAAAGAGCUGAUGAGUUGAAUCAGAUGUGUUUAAUUAGGGACACAUAUAUAAUGUGCAAAAUUGAACUCCAGAAAUGACUUGCAAAGUGAACUUCACAGAGUUUUCUGCCAUAUCAAGUGAAAUUCCUGUCCAAAGGAAGUGGACAUCUUCAGUUGUUAUUAUCUGUACAUUACUCAGUUCUACAUCACCAGUCAUUGCGCAACAGUCCAGUACGAAGAAAGAAGAUUCAAUAAAACAAAGGCGUUAAAAAGGAGUUAAGGCUCCGGCUUGUGGCACAUUAUGAGAUGUUUAACUGUAAUUUCUCACCAUCAGCAUUAACAAGUGUUUAUCCAUCAUCAAACCGAUGUGUAUAUUUCUAAUUUAUUGCAGUACACAUGCGGGAACUGUAUUAACUGUAAUCAAUAAGUGCAAAGGUUAGCCAAGCACUAACGUGACAUGAAUGACUAAUGUAACAUUAAAAUUUGCAAAAUAAAUCUUGCUCCAUCCUUUA